UCUUAAGCGGGUAAGUAUUUUAUAAAUGUUAACAAUCACAUUCAUCAUUACCACGGAGAUAUCAAUUCAAAUCAUUGUUCCGAACUUUCAGAUACACUUUGGAAUUUGUUUUGCGUUUUGAAAUAAAAAAGAUACCUUUGAGAUCAAAUAUAAAUUUACCAUGCUCACUAUCGUGCAAAUUUUAUAAUAAAUCGCUUCUAUUAACAGAAAUUGUCUGUCAUUACAUAACAGGGAACUCUGACUGAAAGGAGGAAGACGUCAAAAAUGGUUGACGAGACCUAAAGGGUACGUCAAAAAAGGAUUCAUAGGAAGUCAAAAAGACGUAAAAGAUGAUACAGAGGGUUCGAUCAACUGUACACCAUUAAAUUUCAAGUUACAACAGGCACACGUGUAAAAAGGCGAAAUCACAACAAACAUUUCUGGUCUUAACCUUGGCAGAGUCGCACAACGUCAGCCGAUACAAGUAAAAAAUGUCGUCUGCUUUAUUAUAGAACGCAACGCCAGCCGAUACAACCAGUAAGUCAAUGGCACAGUCUGUUUCCGCCGGACUAUCAGGUCACCCAGGGAAACAUCAGAAAGGCCAGCGCCCUGUAGUAAUCGUCUGCGUUCCUGGGAAGAUGGUGAUACAGCGCCACCUGUAAGAGUGAGACAAACAUUACAGUCAAACCUCGAGGAAAUCGACUGCAAUCUCAACUAUUUAGCAAAGUACGAGUGCUUAAACUUUUUGGGUCUUCACAUGGGCACAGUGGAAUAACGUCAGCCGAUACAACUAGUACGUCAAUGCACAGUCUGUUUCCGACGGAACUAAUGUUAUCCUGUGAAACAUCAGACAGUGGAGCGCCCUCUAGCGAUCGUCUACUAGUCCUCCGCGUUCCUGGGAAGCUGGUGAUAUUGCGUCACCCGGAAGAGUGAGUCAAACUCGAUGGAGAAAAUCAACUCCAAGUUCAUCCAUUUAGCAAAGUACAUGUACAAACAUAUAAUGUGAAUUUUCAGCUUCAAAGAAAUUAUACGGGAUCCCUUU
rnacentral:lncRNA from 1 species